ensembl:lncRNA
AUAAAAUUCAACAAGUUCUUAAACUGUUCUAAGAACUGUUUGUAGAUAAAGCAUAGUAGAUAAAGAUAGGUGGGAAGAAACCUGAAGGAAAAUGAAAAAAUGAUAACAUUUGGAAGUCUCAAGGGAAGAAUAGAGAACAAUAAAACAACGUACUUCAAGAAACUCAGUGCAGGUCUGAAUCACUUCAGAGUGUGAGAGCUGAACAAUAAAUAAUGUGGGCAACAGAAUUUUUAUGCUUGGUGUUCUUCUUUCUCUUUUUAAGUUUAAGUUGACUUAUCCUGUUGAAAUGUACUCUACAUGACUUGGAGCAGGCUGAGGCAACUGCAGAUUCUAAACAGUAAUCUUUUAUAAUUCAUGCAAGACAGUAAGACACCAGAAGAUCAGGAAGAGUAUGUCUUUCAACAGGAUAAAGGAACUGUAAGAGGUCAUUCUUUUACGCCGUUGCCUCAAAGCUUGCUGAGGGACACAGAUGAACAAAUUCAAGCAAGUCCUGACCAAGGAUUAAGAAAACCUUCGUCUGAAGGGACAACAGAUGGACAACGCCUGGGGCAACGAGAGAGAUUCCACACGACCUGCCUCUCCCUCCCGGACUCGCUCUGUGCUCUACCUGCUUGCUGCCUAAGGAUGGCCUCUCUGCUGCUGCUCACCCCUCCGAGAAGGUGUCUGCCAUCAGAUCCCUCACUACAAAAGGCCUGCAUGCUGACUGACUCUCCAGGGCCUGCUACCGGAGACCUGCUGCUUCCGCCCAGACUUCUUCCUGGACCUACUCGGUACCUGCCUGCACCUUCUCGCUGCCUAAGACCGGCCACACCGCUGCUGCUCUUCCCCUGCGCUUUUGCCCCGGACCAUCGGAACGUCGUGCAACGGGACUACUGCCGGAUCCUGGUGAGAAAAUCCUGCUUUAAAACCAAAGGAAAUCCAGAUUAAACAGGAGAAUGUGGAGGAAGCACAAUGACAGCACAUGAAAUGUAAGAGAAGAGUGCUGAAGACCCUGCAAUCACUCUGGAAGAGACUUCCGUAUCUGCUUCUGCAGACUGUCUGGGACCGUUAAAUGACCAAAUAUUUAUCUGUGGUUGAAAAAAUGACAUAUUUCUUCUUGUUUGCUAUCUGGCCAUGUUGUUUGUACAAGCACCCUCAGAGGUGUGCAGAAGUAUACAUACAGCUGCAAGGAUAUCACUGAAAGGUAAACAGACAUUUGAAGAACUUACAAUCAAAUGCUUAACCUGGUGUAACAGUGACGCCAUCGUCUUCAUGCAUGUUAACAAAUCUCAAAUCAAGAGAUUUGAUUUUGAUGUAAGUAUACUUUGACAUAAGUGAGAUUACCUGAAUACCAUGCUUCAGGUAUUCAUAUACCAUGAAAAUAAAAAUGAACACAUUCGUACUCUUGUUGCUGGUGGACAGGCCAUCGUAUGACAAGCUCCCUAGUACUAAGAAAAGCAGAUCUUUUUGGUGAUGUUGGCAGAAAGGUCACAGACUCAUUGGUCUCUAAAUUGAAACCAUUUUUUUUAUCUUCCACUUAUGACUGUUCAGUGCUUUUAAUAUAUAGAUAUAUUUGUAAAAGUUCUGUAAGAUCCAUAAAUCUCCAUCUAAGGAAAUCUCAGCUCAUGUCUUCCACACUUUUUAGUGUUUUGCUCAUGAUUGCAGCUGGAAAGAAGCACUAGUGUCUGCAAGAUAAAGAGAGCAAUCAAGUUCCACUUCUAGGUCCUAGGAUGAAAAAAAAAAAGGCUCCUUCAAAGGAGGAAGCCUAUAACUGAUAUACCACUCUGUCUCCUGAGCAUGACAGUGAAAAAGAAAGGAUUUCAUUGCACCAAGAAGAGGACAACUCCUUCUGAAACUGUUAUCCUCAGAUGGGAACUACUGUGCAAAAAUUCAUCACAUUAUUUGAAAACGACUUGCACAAGUGUAUGCCCUGAAGCAAAACAUGAAUAUAUGUAUGCUACACAUAAUUGGCAUGGUAAUAUUAUCCACUGAAAUAUCUAGGUCUCUACAUCAAGCUAAACAUCACAGAGCUAUAAUAAACAAGUAAAUAAAGAAGUGGUGAUUAGCAAACUGGAUUUAUGUUCUUAAGUACCUGAUGUGCUGUAAGUCAGUUCAUACUCACAUCCUAAAGCAGUUUGUGAAAUGUAUAUCUAUUUAAAUGACAUUUACAAAACCUGUUUAUGCUUUCAACAUGAUAAAUUCAUCUUCAAUUACUUGGAAAAAUAGGGCGAGUAUUUAUAACCUGUUGUUCUUUUUUCAUAAAAGAAAAACCCAUGCCCAGGCAUUCCUAGUAUUUCUUACUUACAGUAUGACAUCCACAGUGUUCAUCAGAGUACAGUGCAGUGCUGUGCACCUGUAGGAACUGUUGCUUAAUUUCACAGCUUAGGUGCCCAAAUUAAAUUGCACUGAUUACCUCUUCGACUCCUAUAUUAAAAAUUACCUUUGGUGGUUUUAAUAUAGAUACUCAGGAAGGUUUAAAUUUUAAAUGGAUGACCAUGGGUUAAGCUUUAUUCCCUGUCUUAUUAGGAAUUAUACUAAAAAAGCUCUAACAGACUCCCCGUGUAUUUGCAAAAAUCUUUCUGGUGACACCUUAUGACAUCUUGUCAAAAUCCUCACUUUAUUCUUGCUAGUUUUACAUUAAGUUGCUGCCUGCUGGAAAUAAGUUUUAUCACAGCAGGAGCCUAAACCAACAUUUAUUUCAGAAAUCCCAAGAAAACAUUCAGAACUAUCACAGUUAUAGAAAUAUGUGCCCCACAUCUUCUGUGGGUGGAUAGAUACAUGCCUGCAUCCGGAAGGCUGGAAACAGGUUUCAGCCCCUGACUGCGGAUGGCUCUGCUCAGAAAGCUCAACUACAACAGUCUGCAGCCAUCUGCUUGUUGCAAUCAGAUCCACUUCAAAGUGUCACAAUCUGACCUUUGUUAUGGCAACAAUAACUUGCAACGGAUGCUCAAGCCAGCUGGUCUGCAGAGAUCCUAGAUCGCCUCAGUGAGUUUAGAAUGACCUUUUGCAGUGCAGACACCAGAAGUCAAAGAGGUGAGCUAUCAUGUUAUCACAGAGAUCUCAGCAUGCUCUAAGGAGCUUUUUUUAGCCUAGGACUGAAAAAAGGGACUCCCUUUAGUGAAUCCUUGAGUCAGCUUUUUACUUCUGUGGUAGAGCCCAAAUGCAUUCUCCUUUCUCAGUUUAAACUUCACAUUUAAUAGAAAUUGUUUUUAUAACAAACAUUUAUGUAAAACCUCUUCAAUAAACUAGGUAGGGCUUCCUGUUAUUCUUUCACUGCUGCUUAGAUUUGUGGUGCUACUCUGAGGUGUUUGUAUUAUUGCUGUAAAGAAGAAGUAGUAAAACAAACUAUGCAAAAUAUUGUUUUGAGCCUCAUUGGCCACUGUUUUUCAUAUCUCUUGCCGUGAUAAGGAAUUCUCAGGUAAAAGAGCCAAACUUGUAUCCAUUUCCUCUUCCCUUCCAGAGAGUUUCUAAGAAUACAAAUGUACCCAAUUUCACAGGUAAUACACUACAUAUCUCUG